GACGAACGCUGGCGGCGUGCUUAACACAUGCAAGUCGAACGGAAAGGCCCUGCUUUCGUGGGGUGCUCGGGUGGCGAACGGGUGCGUAACACGUGAGUAACCUGCCCUUGACUUUGGGAUAACUUCAGGAAACUGGGGCUACUAUCGGAUAGGAGCUCCUGCUGCGUGGUGGGGGUUGGAAAGUUUCGGCGGUUGGGGAUGGACUCGCGGCUUAUCAGCUUGUUGGUGGGGUAGUGGCUUACCAAGGCUUUGACGGGUAGCCGGCCUGAGAGGGUGACCGGCCACAUUGGGACUGAGAGACGGCCCAGACGCCUACGGGAGGCAGCAGUGGGGAAUAUGGCACAAUGGGCGGGAGUCUGAUGCAGCAACGCCGGGUGCGGGAUGACGGCCUUCGGGUUGUAAACCGCUUUCGCUUGUGACGAAGCGUGAGUGACGGUAAUGGGUAAAGAAGCACCGGCUAACUACGUG
rnacentral:rRNA from 1 species